GCGAACGCUGGCGGCCGGCCUCACCCAUGCAAGUCGCACGCACCUUUCGGGGUUAGUGGCGGACGGGUGAGUAACACGUGGGAACGUGCCUUUAGGUUCGGAAUAACUCAGGGAAACUUGUGCUAAUACCGAAUGUGCCCUUCGGGGGAAAGAUUUAUCGCCUUUAGAGCGGCCCGCGUCUGAUUAGCUAGUUGGUUGAGGUAAUGGCUCACCAAGGCGACGAUCAGUAGCUGGUCUGAGAGGAUGAUCAGCCACAUUGGGACUGAGACACGGCCCAAACUCCUACGUGAGGCAGCAGUGGGGAAUCUUGCGCAAUGGGCGAAAGCCUGACGCAGCCAUGCCGCGUGAAUGAUGAAGGUCUUAGGAUUGUAAAAUUCUUUCACCGGAGACGAUAAUGACGGUACCCGGAGAAGAAGCCCCGGCUAACUUCGUG
rnacentral:rRNA from 1 species